AAGAUUUAAGUAGUUUAUAAAUAAAAUAAUUGAGUGUGGGUCUUUAGAAAUGUGAAAUCUUAA
rnacentral:tRNA from 1 species